GACGAACGCUGGCGGCGUGCUUAACACAUGCAAGUCGAACGAUGAAGCCGGAGCUUGCUCUGGUGAAUUAGUGGCGAACGGGUGAGUAACACGUGAGUAACCUGCCCUUGACUCUGGGAUAACUGCGGGAAACUGUAGCUAAUACCGGAUACGACCCUCGGAGGCAUCUCCUGGGGGUGGAAAGAAUUUCGGUCAAGGAUGGACUCGCGGCCUAUCAGCUAGUUGGUGAGGUAAAGGCUCACCAAGGCGACGACGGGUAGCCGGCCUGAGAGGGUAACCGGCCACACUGGGACUGGGAUACGGCCCAGACUCCUACGGGAGGCAGCAGUGGGGAAUAUUGCACAAUGGGCGCAAGCCUGAUGCAGCGACGCCGCGUGAGGGAUGACGGCCUUCGGGUUGUAAACCUCUUUCAGCACCGACGAAGCGCAAGUGACGGUAGGUGCAGAAGAAGGACCGGCCAACUACGUGCCAGCAGCCGCCGUAA
rnacentral:rRNA from 1 species